AACCAUUCCAUGGUUCUGUGACCUUCAAGGACCUUUCCAAUCCAGCCUGACCGUUCCAUGGUUCUGUGACCUUCAAGGACCUUUCCAACCCAACCAUUCCAUGGUUCUGUGAUCUUUCAGGACCCUUCCAGCCCAACCAUUCCAUGGUUCUGUGAUCUUCCAGGACCCUUCCAACCCAACCCAACCA
rnacentral:lncRNA from 1 species